rnacentral:rRNA from 1 species
CAAUAGCGUAUAUUAAAGUUGUUGCAGUUAAAAAGCUCGUAGUUGGAUUUCUGGUGGGAGCGAUCGGUCUGGCGCUUAGCGCGAGUACUUGCAUCGUCUCCGGCCAUCCUUGGGGAGAGUCUGUCUGGCAUUAGGUUGUCGGGCAGAGGAUCCUCAUCGUUUACUGUGAAAAAAUUAGAGUGUUCAAAGCAGGCUUAUGCCGUUGAAUAUAUUAGCAUGGAAUAAUAAGAUAGGACUUUGGUACUACUUUGUCGGUUUGCGCACCAAAGUAAUGAUUAAUAGGGACAGUUGGGGGUAUUCGUAUUCCGUUGUCAGAGGUGAAAUUCUUGGAUUUACGGAAGACGAACUACUGCGAAAGCAUUUACCAAGGAUGUUUUCAUUAA